AUCCCUUGUCAGUAUGGAGUGUCUAUGAUGCAAUUGUAAAAUCAACACAGCCCCAGGGCACUCGUCAGUCAGCUGCUAUUGUGGAAGUACAUGGACAGCCCAGUUAUUAGUAGAAGUGAGGAUCCACUGGCAUGGUGGCGUGAAAAUCAAUAUAUUUUCCCAAAUAUUUCUAAAGUGGUGAGGGAAAAAUUCAAUAUAGUGGCCACUUCUGUGCCAUGCGAAAGAAUAUUUUCUAAAACUGGUAUAAUUAUAAAUGAAAGGCAAACACGGCUGAAGGCGUCCAAAGUUGAAAAACUUAUAUUUCUAAAUAUGAACAGUACUAACUCCUGAAUUUCCUGUUACAGGUAGUGGAUUCGAGAGGCACACCAACACCAGCAGAUGAGUCUCCGUUUUAUACUUGGGAUAUUAUAACAGUAAGUUAUAGCUCCAGAAGUCAGUCACCAGCAGCAGAUGUCACACAGUUAUAAAAUGGAAACCUUUAAGAAUAAG